AUUGAACGCUGGCGGCAUGCUUUACACAUGCAAGUCGAACGGUAACAGGCCGCAAGGUGCUGACGAGUGGCGAACGGGUGAGUAAUGCAUCGGAACGUGCCCAGUCGUGGGGGAUAACUACUCGAAAGAGUAGCUAAUACCGCAUACGAUCUAUGGAUGAAAGCGGGGGACCGUAAGGCCUCGCGCGAUUGGAGCGGCCGAUGUCAGAUUAGGUAGUUGGUGGGGUAAAGGCUCACCAAGCCAACGAUCUGUAGCUGGUCUGAGAGGACGGCCAGCCACACUGGGACUGAGACACGGCCCAGACUCCUACGGGAGGCAGCAGUGGGGAAUUUUGGACAAUGGGCGCAAGCCUGAUCCAGCAAUGCCGCGCGCAGGAAGAAGGCCUUCGGGUUGUAAACUGCUUUUGUACGGAACGAAACGGCUCUGGUUAAUACCCGGGGCUAAUGACGGUACCGUAAGAAUAAGCACCGGCUAACUACGUG
rnacentral:rRNA from 1 species